rnacentral:Y_RNA from 1 species
GGUUGGUCCGAGUGCAGUGGUGUUUACAACUAAUUGAUCACAUCCAGUUACAGAUUCCUUUGUUCCUUCUCCACUCCCACUGCUCCACUUGACCAGCCUUUA